GCCGCGUGCGGGAUGAAGGUCUUCGGAUUGUAAACCGCUGUCAGAGGGGAUGAAGUGCACGGGGGUUCUCCCCUGUGUUUGACAGAGCCUCAGAGGAAGCACGGGCUAAGUUCGUGCCAGCAGCCGCGGUAAUACGAACUGUGCGAACGUUAUUCGGAAUCACUGGGCUUAAAGGGUGCGUAGGCGGUUAUCUAAGUCAGGUGUGAAAUCUCUCGGCUCAACCGGGAAACUGCGCUUGAAACUGGGUGACUGGAGUGAUGCAGGGGUGUGUGGAACUUCCGGUGGAGCGGUGAAAUGUGUAGAUAUCGGAAGGAACGCCAGCAGCGAAAGCGGCACACUGGGCAUUUUCUGACGCUGAGGCACGAAAGCUAGGGGAGUGAACGGGAUUAGAUACCCCCGUAGUCC
rnacentral:rRNA from 1 species